GAUGAACGCUGGCGGUCUGCUUAACACAUGCAAGUCGAACGGAAGUAGCAAUACUUUAGUGGCGGACGGGUGAGUAACACGUAAGAAUCUGCCUCCAGGACGGGAAAAACAGUUGGAAACGACUGCUAAUUCCGGAUGAGCCGAAAGGUAAAAAGAAAUUCGCCUGGAGAUGAGCUUGCGGCUGAUUAGCUAGUUGGUAGGGUAAGAGCCUACCAAGGCGACGAUCAGUAGCUGGUCUGAGAGGAUGAGCAGCCACACUGGGACUGAGACACGGCCCAGACUCCUACGGGAGGCAGCAGUGGGGAAUUUUCCGCAAUGGGCGAAAGCCUGACGGAGCAAGACCGCGUGGGGGAGGAAGGUUCUUGGAUUGUCAACCCCUUUUCUCAGGGAAGAACAAAAUGACGGUACCUGAGGAAUCAGCAUCGGCUAACUCCGUGCCAGCAGCCGCAGUAAUAC
rnacentral:rRNA from 1 species